AUCGCUUCUCGGCCUUUUGGUUAAUUUCUAGUGUAAUAUCUGUUUUUAUCACUUUAAUAUCUGAUACAUCCUCUAUCUGAGGACAAAAUAUUAAGUGGAUUUUUGGAGCCUGGAAUUGGAAUAGGAAAUUGCUCUGUCCACUCUGAGCAUCGACCUGGUAUUGUAUGACCUCCAGGAAAGGUGUACCCCCU